rnacentral:rRNA from 1 species
GACGAACGCUGGCGGCGUGCUUAACACAUGCAAGUCGAACGGAAAGGCCCUGCUUUUGUGGGGUGCUCGAGUGGCGAACGGGUGAGUAACACGUGAGUAACCUGCCCUUGACUUUGGGAUAACUUCAGGAAACUGGGGCUAAUACCGGAUAGGAGCUCCUGCUGCAUGGUGGGGGUUGGAAAGUUUCGGCGGUUGGGGAUGGACUCGCGGCUUAUCAGCUUGUUGGUGGGGUAGUGGCUUACCAAGGCUUUGGCGGGUAGCCGGCCUGUGAGGGUGACCGGCCACAUUGGGACUGAGAUACGGCCCAGACUCCUACGGGAGGCAGCAGUGGGGAAUAUUGCACAAUGGGCGGAAGCCUGAUGCAGCAACGCCGCGUGCGGGAUGACGGCCUUCGGGUUGUAAACCGCUUUCGCCUGUGACGAAGCGUGAGUGACGGUAAUGGGUAAAGAAGCACCGGCUAACUACGUG